rnacentral:rRNA from 1 species
AGCGAACGCUGGCGGCAGGCCUAACACAUGCAAGUCGAACGAACCUUUCGGGGUUAGUGGCGGACGGGUGAGUAACACGUGGGAACGUGCCUUUAGGUUCGGAAUAACUCAGGGAAACGGGGGCUAAUACCGAAUGUGCCCUUCGGGGGAAAGAUUUAUCGCCGUUAGAGCGGCCCGCGUCUGAUUAGCUAGUUGGUUGAGGUAAUGGCUCACCAAGGCGACGAUCAGUAGCUGGUCUGAGAGGAUGAUCAGCCACAUUGGGACUGAGACACGGCCCAAACUCCUACGGGAGGCAGCAGUGGGGAAUCUUGCGCAAUGGGCGAAAGCCUGACGCAGCCAUGCCGCGUGAAUGAUGAAGGUCUUAGGAUUGUAAAAUUCUUUCACCGGGGACGAUAAUGACGGUACCCGGAGAAGAAGCCCCGGCUAACUUCGUG